rnacentral:misc_RNA from 1 species
UCAAGUGAAGUAUGAUGAUAGCUUGUGAGUAACCUGAAAAGCCAUCCCGGAUCAUUCACAAGAUGAACCGUUUGGAAGGAUACUUGAUUGCAAUGCCUGCAC